GAGUGAGUUGAGUUGUCUAUUUGAAAUUUUUCUAUGAGUAGGAAAAAUACUUGUGCUAAUUAAAAUCACAACUCUCUUUUAUAUCUCUGUUUAGUUUUGAGAUGCUCUCUGAUUAGGUUAUCAGUUGAUUAUACAUGCAUGUUCUGACACUGACUUGAGAAAAUUUUAUCUCUGUAAAAUUUUCUUCAGUUUUUUUCUGGUGUUUCAGUGUGGAGCGUCCGGACGGUCCCUCUUGGCGUCCGGACGGGUGGAGUUCAGUAGUUCGGACGGUUCCCGUUUUGGAAUCCGAACAGACGGCGUUCUGGAGUCCAGACGGAAUAUGUUCCACGUCCGGAUGUGAGCUGUCAUCCUCGUCCGAACGGGUAAUUUAAUUCGUCCGGACGUGCGUAACCGUUUUGCUCCUUUCCGAGGCAGCGGGCGUCCGAACGUCAUCAAAACACUGUCCGGACGGGUACCCCACAGAGGCUAUAAAUUGCCCAGAUCGUUGCUUUCUCCCUUCAUACCCCACAAGAUUUUCUCCUUGGCACCUUGUUACUCUUUGAGUGUUGCGUACUGUAUUUCAAAGAGACGAGGCACCCGGCGUAUCGUGACAUUAGGAGGAGGAACAAGAACAAGUGGGUCUCUGAAAUGCUUGGGACGUACAGGAGUGUGGAGAUGGCGGCGCGGGCGCAUGACGUAGCGGCUUUGGCACUUAGGGUAAAAAGUUGAACAAGCUGCUUCGACCUUUCUUCCUUAUUGCUUAACAUGUGGGGCUGCCGACAACUUUAUUCUUUUAUUGCUAAAGCAGAACAACACCGUGUUCGUGUGCCUCGCCGUAAUUCAUUGAAGAGCUAGCAAAGCUAGUCGGUUUGGCCACUGGAAGAAGCUUCGUUCAGGUUCCAGACUCGGCCUUCGCCACCUUUAUUUUUCUAUAAAGAGCAUCCCCAACCAACGGCUCACUUUUUCCUCUCGUUCUGAAAAUCUUUGGUUAAGCGCAGAAGAAUUCUUGUGAAGAGAGAGAUCAUAAGUUACUCCAACCAGCAGCAGGCUCCCGUCGGUGUUCCUUCUCCUCAAGGGUAUCCAAAGGAUGCUUAUACUCCACUAGGGUACCAAAAUGACAGAGUGGAAGAAGAAAGAGCGAGAAAGUCGGGAAGAUGCCGAAAUGACGACGUCGGACGUGUUUUGAGAGAUAAUGAGGAGGGGGGAAUUUCAAAGCGAAAGGAGAGGGGUAUUUUCGAGCUUUUGGGCUAAAAGAGUCGCGUGCACAGCACAUGACUUGCUUUCCAUUUACUUAAACAGCACAAAGUGACAGAUAGGGCCAAAAAAUAAGCAAUUGGUAGUUUGGGGGCCCGGACUGCAAGCACUGGUAGUUUGGGGGGCCAUCUGGAGAAUGGGUGAUAAU